AAAAUUACAUGAAAUUACAAAUAAUUGUGGGACCAUUACAAGAUUAUGGUGGGGCUAAUCAUUUUCUAAAAGGGUAAAUCCGUCCAAUUUAGUGUGCAGCGCUGGGAGAAAAGGAAAAGAAAAUAUAUCCCUGCACGCUUCGUCCCCAAUCUGUCGAUCCCCUCUCCGCUCGCCUCCUCCUCUCCCGGGUCGCUGCGCCGCCGGCUCAGCCGCUUCUCCUGCGCCUUCUCCUCCUCGCUCCUCUCCUCAUAGAUGAGUCCUCGACCAGAUCGGCGUCCAGCGCAGGAGGAUCCGGAUGGUCGUGGUGGUGGCAUAUUCAGCGGCGUCGCCGGACGAGCUCCAGGCACGGGGAAGAUAUCUCCACGGGCCCGCGCAACCACGUCCCCUCGCUGACGUCGGCAUGUAGUCCGCCCAUGCCGCCGAGGAGAGGGAGCAGCCGCGCCCGGAGGAGGUCGUCCCCAACGUCUGCAUAAUCCAGUCCGGAUUUGUGGAGAGCCCGGCGCAGCACCAUCUACAGGGCCGGAGCUUCAAUGACGAAUCCACUAUUCACAGACAGCCCAACUCGACAGGCACAAGCCAUGUCGACAGUCGAGGUGGCACUCGGGGGCAUGCUCGCCUCGGCAGUCAUCAAGGUGGCGAGAUCAAUUCUACCAUUUCAGGCAAGAUCAAGCUGCACAGGAAACUGAGGAACGAUCUGGAGAACAUGAAGAUGAUGCCAGAGUCGGUGGAGGUUGUGCUCGGCGACGUUGAGAGGGAGUCUAUCAAGCAUAAGUCCAUGCUUCUGUGGCUGAAUCGGCUUAAGGAUGCCGCGAACGACAUCUCCGACAUGCUUGAAGAUUUUGAAGAUGAAACCGACUUCAACCUGCUAUGCAAGAUUCUGUCGAUUUGGUCACUAUCAAUCUUGAUCUGAAUGAUGUUGUUUAAUAAUAGAUGAAUAUUUUUAGAUAAUGAACUACAUCUAAAACUUUUUUAUGUAGUGAGGUAGAUCUGAACCUCACUGUUGGAGUUGAUCUUUGAGUCGAUGUUAAGUAAAAGCUACUUCUGCUUGUUGAUGCAAGACCACCUUUAGAUUCGAAAAUGUCCCUGCCUUCUUUUGUUUGACCAAUAGUAAGCUAUGUCCACAAAUACCAUGAUUUGAUUGAGGGGAAAGUGAAGUAGAACUAGUCUGGUAUCCCAAGUGUAAUAUCAGUUUCUGCAUUGUUUUUCUCAACCACCUGAUUGAAACUAGUUUGUAAUGCCAUCUCCGCCCCUUUCAAGCCUUCCAUGGUACUGAUACACCGCAUUGUACCUCUUGCAGUGGGCAGCCACGAUGAAGAAGAUUAAGAUGCCACGUAAGAUGAGAUCGAUGCAAAAGCGCCUACAAAAGAUGGACUGUGAUAGUUAUGGUGUUCAGCCAGAAAUUCACUGCAAGGAGUGGCAAGUUCCUGACAUCCAGGAAACAACAGGAUAUGUGGAGGAGGCAGAAAUCAUCCGCAGGACUGAUGAUGAAAGGAAAAUCUUGGAUUGCAUAUCUGGGAGCAAUAGUUAUUUCCCCCUGCUUUUGAUUACAGUGAUUGGAGUCAGUAGGUAAUACAGGACAUGGUAAAUUUCAUUGGAAUAUAACUUGCAAGUUGAUGGGUUCAGAACCUUUGUGCUGUGAAAAAGAGUUACAUUCUUCUGAUUAUGCCACUGGACUAUGGCCAUUUUCCCUUCAAAUUAGCUAGGAAUCUGUCUAUUUAGGCAGUGUAUGGCGCUGUAUAGAAUGGACAGUAAUUAUGUAUAGUAUUUCUUCGAAAACCAGAAUUGGCUCAAUUUGGAAGAAUGGCUGCUUUAUGUGAAUUUGUUACCCUCUUUGCACGUGUUGCUACAAGUGCAUUACCAUGCGACACAUCAUUUGCAUGAUGAUCUAAAUACCUUUCGUAUGCUUCUGGGCAGGACAUGUCCGAAGAAGACAUAUAUGCAUGUCCAAAGAAGACAUAUAUGCAUGUGGGUACAUGGAUAUCGGCGAGAGGGACUUGAGAGAAUAUGGGUCAUCGCCCAAAAGGAAGAAACUUGCAGAUAACAAUUCGGCAGCAGUGACGAGCCUCUUCAGUAGGCUUUUGGUUUUUCUACAAUUUCAAGCUUUAGAGCUGAAUUAUUGUCCCAAGUAGUGUUUACAUUAUUUUCGAACCAACAAUCACUUUAUUGAAGAGACAAUUGUGAGACUAUGUUUACAAUAAUAGGCUAUCAAAUUUGAGUUGUUGCUCAUUUUUUA